AAUGCACACGAACACCACGGGCUUGAUGUUAUGAGCGUGACAGGAAGUCAGCAGAAUGUUGGAGGUUUGAUUUCCGGUUAAAGCUGUGCCUCACUAAUAUCAAUAUCAACAAAACCUAUCAGGGAUAAACAGUGCGACUUGUGAUGUGUGAGCGCAGAUGAUGGAGGAACGCUUCUCUCUCUGAGCCAGAGCCGCAUGAACCCGCCUGAACCUGGUUACAUUCGGCUGAAUCCAUGCUUUCUGAUGAACUUGACUCCAAGCCUGAGGUAUUUUGCAGUGUGAGGAGGUUACAGAUCCGCGCAUGGUGUUUUUAAUUACUUUAAAUUGCAAUUGUGAUUUAAAAUGCAAUUUAAAAAAAAAAUCCAGGUUGUCUGUGUUUGUAGGGCUGCACAGUUUGGCCAAAAGUUGUGAUUAUAUUUACAGUUAGUCAUUUAGCAGACGCUUUUAUCCAAAGCGCCUUACAACUGGGGAAUACAUCAAGCGAUUCUUCUUAAAGAGGCAAAUACACACCGGAAGUGCUCGUCAUACCACGUUUCAAGCAUUGUUUAGAUAAGUACAAGCUAGAAAGGGAAGGAAUAAAUAAAGAGAAAGACA